UUUGUAGGUGGAGGUACGGAGACAGAAUGAAUUCCGUUCCGCAUCCACAACUUUAUUUUGCCUUUGAUUACAAUAAAUGCAACAUGUAGGUACAAUAAUUUGAAUUUUUGAGUUUAACAUAGCAUGGGGUGAGUUUGGGGCUUGGACAUAGUUAGUUAGUAUUAAUUUUAAGUUAGUAUUUUGUAGGCAUGGAUUUCAGACAUUGACAUGAUUGGUAACAUUAUCAGCUUGCAUGUUUGUUUACAUUUUUAAAAUGAAAUUAUUUUGCAAUAAACAUUAAAAUUUUAGACUAACAUUGUUUUAUUUAUUUCUUUUCAGGUACCCCCAUCAGAAGGACAGGAGCACCGCGUCGCAGAGAGCCUCAGGAGUCAUCACAGUUUCAGCAUCCCUCGCUGCCGUCAUUUGAUAAAAUUGCCGUUCAUCAGGAAGAUUUUUUU